GCGGCGGGAUGGACCGGGAGCUGCUGCGUCAGGCGCUGAGCCACCACGGCCCCGCGCUGCUCUCGCUGCUCCGCGCCGAGCAGCACGACAACCCCGACUUCCGCGGGCUGCUGCCGCCGCCGGGAACCGCCUUCGAGCCGCCUCGCGGGGCCCCGCAGGCGCCGCCCGCCUGGAAAGAGUCGGCGAGCAUUGACACCGAGAUCAAGCGCUUCAUCGCCAAGAAGGCUGAUCUCCUUUUUGCUCACUCCUGGAAACCCAACGGACCCCUCUGCGAGACGAUCGAGGAGAAUGAAGAGUAUUACGCUGUUAUGCCUCCCCUGGAACGGUUCAUGGAGGUUCCCAGGGAAGACAGGAGAGAAUUUUUCUUUCGAGACAUUGAACGUGGUGAUAUCGUGAUUGGGAGGAUCACUUCUAUCCGAGAAUUUGGCUUUUUCAUGGUGUUGAUUUGUCUGGGAAGUGGUAUCAUACGGGAGAUUUCGGAUUUAGACCUCACUGCUCUUUGUCCUCUGAGAGAUGUGCCUCCUCAAAGCAACCAUGGAGAUCCGUUAUCUUAUUAUCAAACGGGAGACCUUAUUCGAGCUGCAGUCAAGGAUGUUGAUCGUUACCAUGAGAAGCUCACAGUGUCUCUUUACAGCUCAGCACUUCCCCCCAACCUUUCCAGCACAAAACUAGGUGUUAUUACUUCUGAUGACUUCCCAUUACAUUAUAGGAGAAGCCUGGAAGUUGCUAAUACAGGAGAGACUUUUGAAGAGGUUUUGCAUCGUUCCCCAGGAUUUGCUAAUCCGUUCCUAGUUGAAUAUUUGGCAGAAAAACUAGGACUAAGUGAAUCAAAUCCACCAUCUUUGAUGAGAAGUCUUCAAAUUAAAAAUUUCAGUGAAGAAGAUUUUGCCCCUGCACUGAGGAAGAAGCAGUCUGCAUCCUGGGCUUUGAAAUGUGUGAAGGCUGGGGUUGAUUAUUUUAAGGUCGGGCGCCAUGUGGAAGCCAUGAAUGAGUACAACAAGGCUUUGGAAAUUGAUCCACAGAACGUUGAAGCUUUGGUAGCACGUGGAGCGCUGUAUGCAACAAAAGGAAGUUUGAACAAAGCUAUAAGUGAUUUUGAAAUUGCUUUAGAAAACUGUCCAACCCACAGAAAUGCAAGAAAAUACCUCUGUCAGACACUUGUGGAGAGAGGCGGGCAGUUGGAAGAGGAAGACAAACUUCUAAAUGCUGAGAGUUACUACAAAAAAGCCUUAAGUUUGGAUGAGACUUUUGAGGAAGCAGAAGAGGCGUUAACGAAGCUCCGUAAGCACAUGCAGGUGAUUCUUUACUUUCUCUUCACAUAGUGCUUUCAGUGGCAAUAAACAAAACCUAAGAAAUCUUUUGAACAGGGAGAGUUUUAAGUUGAUGGUUUGUCUUAUUCUCUACUUCCCUUCUCCACAGUAAAUCUUAUAAGGUGAGCAUUAUGGCUGUACCUACCAGAAGAAAGGUACCUCUUGAUGACUCCACUGUUUUGAAUAGAGUAGUAAAGAAAAGCCAAAUCGUGGAGACAGGGAAAGAGCAAAGCCUGUUAACCCUGUCAGCUAGAUCAAGGAUCACAAUAGUACAUCACGCAGGCAUGAUGAGUAAUGUUAAAUUAAAACAUUCUGUGAAUACAGACAUGCAAAGGGCACACCACUAUACCAGCUAGAUCCUUGUUGUCUGGAGUAAUUACAAAAAGAGAGAGAACAGGAGUGAAAGCUAACUCACAGGAAGAUCACGGAGAGGGGAGAUUAAGAGGUAAUUUAAAAGAAAGUAGCAGGAGGUGAAGAGUGGGUGAGCAGACAGACUUGAAUAUCUUAGUGGUUUUCUCUGUUGCCUGUUUCUCUCCUCAUGCAUGCAGCAUGUUUCCCAAGUGAGCCCUGGUGGGUCUCUGUGCUAACCUGAGUUGUCUUUUUUGCUUUUGUUUCCUUCUUUUACUUAUGUUGUCUUUCAGAGAGGAUUAAAGAGUAAAAUGAGGAACAGGCUUGUUUUCUUCUUUGCUUCUGCCUGUAAGGAAGUACAUAAACUGGGGUAGAUGGCCCUAAUCAACACUUCUUCAGUUGGUGGAGCCAUAAUGCUGAUGGGUUGUGUUGAAAGAAAGGGGAAGAGGAGAUAUGACAAUCUCUUAAAUUAAACACUUGUAUGGUAUUUGAGCACUGUCCACAUAUGGCUACUUUAGAAAGAGGUGUCAGUCUGAGUUAAAAGGAUGAAUCUCUCAAAGCAGAAGAUAAAUUUUACUGUCCUUUAGCGCUUUCUUGCUAUAAGGCAUCACUGGUGCAGCAGAUAAAACCCACAGUGCUAGCUAUUGUUUGUUGGUUUGCAUAGCCUCAACUGCAGUUCAGGGUUUCCAUUAUUACAUUUGUUAAGACAGUUGCAAAGAUUUGAAAACAAUAAUGGGAUUUGCUGCUCACACUGCAUCUGAACUGCUGGUUAGGGCUGUAGAUGGCAGAAGUAAUAGACUAAUAGACUUCAGUAAUUUAAGGACUAUUCAUCUGGUGAGAUGUUGUGCAUUAUCUGUAUUUACAAACCUAAGUCUGAUACUGUUGCUGUUGUGCUAGAAUGGCUGAAACAACACUGAAGUGUGUUUUCCUGUAAUACUGAUUAUGUGUUUUUCUCCAAUGCAUUUUCUUCUGAAUUGGACCGUUGUUGCUGUAUCUGACAUCUGGUGCUGCUCAUCACCCACAAACCCUUGGAACAUGAUUUCUUACGUAAACUAUGCAUCAAACUGGUCUGUGAAAUUGUUACAAAACGAAAUCUUUGGAAAUGAGGGAGAAACAAGCUGCCAAAGAAGAGAGACAGAAAGAAAAGAAAGU